UUAAUCCAAAUAGGCUAAAAAAGCAAAUAGUGAAUUUGAUCGGCUAUUUGUGUAAAUAUUAGUAUCGGUAAUGGGUUAAUUUGGGCCCGACUCCACCCGUUCCAAGCUGACCCAUAUCAUUCCCCAAAUCAUACUGUCCUUGAGAUCUCUCUCGUCUGUGUUCGCCCUGAAAGAAGCUUUCUUCAACAAACGAAGUUUUUCAACCGGGGUCUUUGAAGAUGAUACAGAAUGUUCAACAUCAACUUUUGCAAUCGCCUGCCCGGCUGGGCCUGCCAACUCCCAGUUCACCUUCUGUACAAAACCCAGCCCCUCCUCCUAAGUUCUCCUCGCAAGUGUCGCAAACUCCUCAACCCAAUCAACAGACAAAUGUAUUAACUACCACUACCACCUCAUCAACGCUACUUCCUCUUCUCCCACCUCUCUCUAGAGCUCAGUCUCUUCUCAUUCAAAUGGCAUCUCUUUCUUCAAGACUCUUUGAAGUCUCACCUAACCGGUCCCAUUGGCUUAGUGCUUUUCGUGGCUCUCUCCCUUCAUUUCUGCCUUCUGCGGGACCGGCUCCACAAGGUUCCUGCCCGUCAUCCUCAAAAGAAAUCCUCUCUGUGUUUACUUCUCUUCAGACACAGCUGUUUGAAGCAGUUGCCGAACUACAAGAAAUUCUUGAUCUUCAAGAUGAGAAGCACAAAGUCACCCGUGAAAUUAGGUCAAAUGAUUCUGCAAUUCUUGCUUUUGCCAACAAACUCAAAGGAGCUGAGCGUGUUCUUGACAAUCUUGUUGAUGAUUACUCCGAUUAUCGUCGUCCCAAACGGGCCAAGUUCGAAAAUGAUACUGAAGAAUCUUCAGUAACAACUGUGGCAACUCAGUUGAAAUUAUCCGACAUAUUGUCAUAUGCUCAUAGGAUAAGCUACACUACUUUUGCACCACCUGAAUUUGGUGGUGGACAAGCUCCUCUUCGGGGAGCACUCCCACCGGCCCCACAGGACGAGCAAAUGCGUGCAUCUCAAUUAUAUAAUUUUGCUGAUCUUGAUAUUGGUUUACCUAAAACAGAUGAAGGCAAAGAAAAUAUUUUGGAGCCACUCAUUGAACCUCCUGCAGAAAGUAACCCACUUGCGAAUCUUUCAGCAAUUCAGGGCCUCCUCCCUCCACCUGGUUGGAAGCCUGGUAUGCCUGUUGAGUUGCCGACUGAUCUCCCACUUCCUCCACCUGGGUGGAAGCCUGGCGAUCCAGUUGCUCUUCCUCCAGUGGAUUCUCUUCCACUUCAAAAGGUCGAGGAGGCACCAGCACGACCAGUACCUCCUCCAGGACUGCCAAGAAUGCCCGAGCCAAUACAGGUUCGGCAUGUGCAGCUUGAUAUUGAGGAUGAUAGUAGCGAGUAUAGUUCUGAUGACGCCAGCUCUGAUAGUGAAGAUUGAUGUGGUUAGCUGUUUUGAGUAGCUAAUAAAGGUUCAGCAUGUGCACCUUGAUAUUUACUUCUCCUUGCACAGAGCAGCGUUUUCUCUUAUUUGCCUCACUAUUGGAUGACUCCUUUUCUCUCAAACAACAGUGGGUAUGUGGAGUAUAAGAGGAGAAGAUGAGGAAGAAAGAGAGAUGUGAGCAAGGGGGAGAGUGGUCUCCAACGAUUAACUUUUCAAUCAAAUCUUGUUUGAGUCUUUAGUUUAGAUACAUUAUAAAUUGUUAUCAAAUAGUAUAUACUAUGUUAAAUAGUUUAAAUCUUAUCAAUUUAGUGAUCUACUUAUGUUAUAUUAAAAAAAAUUCAAAUAUAUUGCUGAAAUAAUAUUUAAUUUCUAUAUUUUUAAAUUUUUAUAUUUAAUAACUCUUUUAAUUAUACAUAUUCGGAUCUUAAGAACAAACAGAAAAGUAUCUGAACUUAAUUCAAGAUGAGGAAAUUUUAUGAGCAAAAGGAGAACGAGACAAGCAAGAGGUGUAGCUGUCAAUAAGAGAAAACCGUGCAUGAGCUGUUAGAUAACUGUCUUCAUUACAAAAAUGGACGUUUCCUUUGUCUCAUGGCAUGGGACCAGCUUCUUUUUUUUCCCUAUCGUCCUAUCCCCAACACUCGUCUGUUAUCCCCCUUCAACACUCAGUACAUCUAAUUUUUAAUUUUUUUUUUUUUUUUUUAAAUUACAUUGUAAAAAAACUACAUGUAUAGAGACACAGAAUUCGUAUAAUUUUG